rnacentral:rRNA from 1 species
CGAUGAACCACUUCGGUGGGGAUUAGUGGCGAACGGGUGAGUAACACGUGGGCAAUCUGCCCUGCACUCUGGGACAAGCCCUGGAAACGGGGUCUAAUACCGGAUACUGAUCACUGCAGGCAUCUGUGGUGUUCGAAAGCUCCGGCGGUGCAGGAUGAGCCCGCGGCCUAUCAGCUUGUUGGUGAGGUAAUGGCUCACCAAGGCGACGACGGGUAGCCGGCCUGAGAGGGCGACCGGCCACACUGGGACUGAGACACGGCCCAGACUCCUACGGGAGGCAGCAGUGGGGAAUAUUGCACAAUGGGCGCAAGCCUGAUGCAGCGACGCCGCGUGAGGGAUGACGGCCUUCGGGUUGUAAACCUCUUUCAGCAGGGAAGAAGCGAAAGUGACGGUACCUGCAGAAGAAGCGCCGGCUAACUACGUGCCAGCAGCCGCGGUAAUACGUAGGGCGCGAGCGUUGUCCGGAAUUAUUGGGCGUAAAGAGCUCGUAGGCGGCUUGUCACGUCGGUUGUGAAAGCCCGGGGCUUAACCCCGGGUCUGCAGUCGAUACGGGCAGGCUAGAGUUCGGUAGGGGAGAUCGGAAUUCCUGGUGUAGCGGUGAAAUGCGCAGAUAUCAGGAGGAACACCGGUGGCGAAGGCGGAUCUCUGGGCCGAUACUGACGCUGAGGAGCGAAAGCGUGGGGAGCGAACAGGAUUAGAUACCCUGGUAGUCCACGCCGUAAACGGUGGGCACUAGGUGUGGGCAACAUUCCACGUUGUCCGUGCCGCAGCUAACGCAUUAAGUGCCCCGCCUGGGGAGUAC